rnacentral:rRNA from 1 species
CCUACGGGAGGCAGCAGUGGGGAAUAUUGCACAAUGGGGGAAACCCUGAUGCAGCGACGCCGCGUGAGUGAAGAAGCGUUUCGGCGCGUUAAGCUCUGUCAGCGGGGAAGAAACACGGUUCGCGAGAGCCGCGGACGGUACCCGCGCAAGAAGCCCCGGCUAAAUACGUGCAAGCAGCCGCGGUAAUACGUAGGGGGCAAGCGUUAUCCGGAUUCACUGGGUGUAAAGGGGGCGUAGACGGCGAGACAAAGCUGGAGUGAAAGGCCGGGGCCCAACCCCGGGACCGCUCUGGAAACUGCGUGGCUGGAGUACGCGAGAGGUAAGUGGAAUUCGUGGUGUAGCGGUGAAAUGCGUAGAUAUUAGGAAGAACACCAGUGGCGAAGGCAGCUUACUGGACUGUAACUGACGUUGAGGCUCGAAAGCGUGGGUAGCAAACAGGAUUAGAUACCCCAGUAGUC